CCACGAGAACGAAACAUUUCUGGAUUGCCUAUGUUCUGAUGGAAGUGAAAUCGAAUAUGCAACUGUUCAUGCUAUUAGAUACCAUAGCAGCACAGGUCCCAUUCAUAGAAUAGUUUACAUAAAAAAUUGUAAAUACUGAAUGCAUUUUAAUCCAAAGAUUUUAUAAGACAAGACUCCUGGUUUUUUGUCAUGACUAUAAGUUUUUUUAAAGAGAAUAUGAAAUGAAAGAACUCUUUUGGUUAACUCUCAUGUUGAAAGGUUAUCAUCAGCAUCAUGUCAAGUGAAGGAGAAAAGUUAUUAUGCAAGGUAAAAUAUGACGAUAUGCUCAAUACAAGGCACAAAAGAGGACUUUUUCCAGAGAUGAUUGCCCAAUAUCAAGUACAAGGUAUAAAGUACAAGAGCCAGAACUCCUGUGGUAACCAACAUUUCAUCGACAACAACUGCGGAUGCGUGUAUGCGGAAGUGAAUACUUUGAAUAUUCAAAUCAUUUGCUUAAGCGUGGGUUUUACUGUGCAAGAAUUAACAAAGCCUAUUCAAUUCACCAUCGCGAUGAACAGUGAACAAAAAGUGUUUCACUCUGGGUCUUUGAAGCUUUUCGAGAAAGAAAAAUCUCGGCAUGUGUGGACAAAAUACUGGGCUAUCCUUGGAUCAAAUUCGCUGCGUUUAUUUACAAACCAUGAAUCAUUUUUGAAUGCUUCAGAAGAACCGAAAUUAAUCCUGAUAACUGCGGACAGUUUUUGUAAAAGCGUGAACAAAAACGACCAAACCUUUCAAUUCAAGAUUACAAACGGCGAGACAUUUGUAUUAAAAUGUGAGACGGAAUUAGCGAGAAAGGUAUGGCUUGAUAAUCUGGAAAUGGUUUUGACAGGUUUUUGUCGAAACACUUUUUUUUGCAUUGCAACAAUGAUGAGGCGCAGGUUGGAAUAAAUGUGGACAACAACAGAGAUGCGUCAAGGCAAAGUUUUACAGAAAAUUUAUACAAUCAGCCGGGCGAAAUCGUUUCUCAAAAUACAUUUAAUUCAACAAGUACAAACAAUCCGAAGCAUCCGCAGGAAGCGAAGGCAAAUAAAUCAAUUCCCACUUAAAAUCUACGAGACGGAACAAAAUAUUUUCAAGUCGUUCAAUAAAAGUGAACAUGCGAGACCUGUUAGUGAAGCCGGCUCCGUUAUAACCAACUUGCGGGCUCUAAAAUCAUCACAGAGCGAACCUCAAAUGGACCGUAAAUUGAAAAACCAAAAAUCGCCUAAAAAUAGUUUUGGCUAUUCUUUUGAAACCGAUUCCGCAGAUCGCGUUUCAACGUCCUCCUUGCAGUUCGAUGCUCCAAUAAACGCCUUUCGACGUUUCCAAACGAAGUUUAAAACGCCAUAGUGCUAUGCCAGAUUUUGCUAAUCCUGGUUUUAUCUCAGAUGACUCUAAUCUCCAACAGGAUUUGCCUGAAAUCCAGCAGGAUUUGCCUGAAAUCCCGAGAAUAGUUCCUAAAGAUUACGGUACACCAAUUAACCAUGAUGUACCUGCCUAUCCAAAGACGACCCUAGCGAGGCUUGCUGAAGGUUGACGGGCAACAAUAAGUGAAAGAAUCAAGUUUCUGUGGAGAAAAACAUUCUGAUUUUGUCUGAUCCCGAAAACCAUUUCCUAGGACAAAAUGCCACACGUAUUGAGCUUAAGCCAAACAUCAAAUUCACGAUAU
rnacentral:lncRNA from 1 species